rnacentral:lncRNA from 1 species
AUCAAUUUCAUCCCAAAUUAAAUGUAAUGCCCAGAAAAAUCUCAUGCGAAAUCACAAUGACAAUCUCACGUAUAGUUAAUUUAAACACUCAAUAAACAUUUGAUAUGAGAAACCUGGAAGUUGAACCCAAAAAUUCCAUGAAGAGGGAGCAGAGCUCGAUCCAGCCCCAUUACCAACCAACAAGUUAUCAUUGAUAGGGAAAUUCCCUUGACAACAGCUCCGACAGAAAUCAACGCUAUGUCGAGACUCGACGUCUUGAACCCUCUGCUGAACACGAUCUCACUAGAGCCGUUCGCGGCUGAACUGGUGAGAAGAAGAAGCGGCUAGAUCUGAGAAAUAGAGGCGGCAGCAGUGCGCAGCGGCGGCGACGCCUCCAGGCAGGGCCUCACCGGCCUUGAAUCGAAGACAUUAUCAAAGAUCCAGGAUGAUCGGCGGUAAAAUCAGAGGUAGGAAAUGUUGAUAUGUGAUUUUGGAUCGGAGAAAUGAUUUCAUGUUCUGGGUAAAAACCGGCGACAGGGAGGAACCCGAUCUAGAUCCCAGGCGACGCGGCAGAAAACGUGGAGGAUUUUUAAUCGAAGGCGCCUCGCAGUAGUUCGCGGCGGUGAAAUCGCCGAUGAGCUGCGCGGUGGUUCAUGGCGGUGAAGAAGGGGCUGCAAAUAUCGCUGACGUCGGCUCAGAGAAAGAGAGAUCGCGCAGUGGUGACGGAGG